AUUGAACGCUGGGGCAGGUUAACACAUGCAAGUCGAGCGGGGAAGGGUAGCUUGCUACCUGACCUAGCGGCGGACGGGUGAGUAAUGCUUAGGAAUCUGCCUAUUAGUGGGGGACAACAUUCCGAAAGAGAGCUAAUACCGCAUACGCGCUACGGGGAAAGCGGGGGAUUUCGGACCUUGCGCUAAUAGAUGAGCCUAAGACAGAUUAGCUAGUUGGGGGGGUAAAGGCCUACCAAGGCGACGAUCUGUAGCGGGUCUGAGAGGAUGAUCCGCCACACUGGGACUGAGACACGGCCCAGACUCCUACGGGAGGCAUGGGAGGGGGAAUAUUGGACAAUGGGCGCACGCGUAAUCCAGCCAUUCCGCGCGUGUGAAAAAGGCCUUUUGUUUGCAAAGGACCUUUAAGCGUGGGAGAAGCUACUUUGGAUAAAAACCCAAGGAAAGGGGACGUUACUCUCAAAAAAAAGCACCCCGCUAACCCUGUGCCCGCAGGCCCCGGUGAAAAAAAAGGUGGCGAGCGUUAAAUCGAUUUUCCGGGGCGAAAAGGGUGCGGAGGGCGGCUUUUUAAAGUCGAAUGUAAAACCCCUGACCUUGUGUUGGGAUUUCCAUCCAAAACUGGGAAGGCUAGGGAUUGGGGAGAAGCGGAGAAUUCCAGGGUUAGCGUGCAAAAACCUAGAAGAAUCGUGAUCAACCCGAUUGCCAAGUACGCCAUCCUGCUCUAAAAGGACGCUGAAGCCUAGAUGCAUGUGGAGGAUAUGGGUUAGAAUACCCUCUUGUCCAAAGGCCGAAUCCUACAUGGUCGUGCUCGCUCCGGAGGGUCCACUUGUGUUGAGAGGCGUCCCACCGGGGAGGGUCCAAUUUGCCCCAUGCCGCGUGCGUAGUAAAGCUAGUCGCAUGCCGCCUUGUAUUCUCAACUCGCG
rnacentral:rRNA from 1 species